CAAAUUAUCUCUCAAAGCAUAUAUAGCUAUGAGGAUCUUCAUGAAGAAACUCACAUCUGUUGACAUUGAGAGACAUUUGGAGUUGCCGAACGAUACAAGAAGAGAAGCUUUGCCACCUUUCCAAGGCGCACGGGAAAUCGUGAUUCCAAUCAUGUUUGUGGAAGCUGAAAUGACGAAAGUUGAUGUUCACUGCUCCUGCAGAUCAGGAAGGCUAGAAUUUAGAAAAGGCUGGAUUGAAAUCGCUAGCCGUAUGAAUCUCAACGCUGGUGAUGUCGUUACCUUGCACUGGGAAGCCCAAGGUGGGUACAAAAUGAGAGUGAGAAGAAGUGCAAGUCGCGCCUAAAAAAAGAGAAGGAGCCCUUUGUUUUUUGUUUUCGUUUAUUUUUGUAUUUUCCAAGUUCUUUAUAUUUCGCUUCUUCUGUGUUUUUGCUCGUGCUCUGUCGACUACGUACGGAUCAUGUUUUUCUUCUCACAAAAUAAUCAUUUCAUUUUAUAAUUCUGCUAAA